ensembl:lncRNA
GGAUUCUUUCAAGAGUCCAGGAGGUGAGGGCACAGGCUGACAGGAAGGAGAAACAAGGAGGCACUUCUCCCCCAGGGGAUUUAGUGCUGCUUGUCUUCAGUCCCCACGAAGCCCAUUGAGACAGAGAAGAAAUUAGGCAGAGAAAAAGGAUUAGGAGGCUGCGGAUUUUCCUCUGAAGAGCUUAGGCAUAGGUGACAGACUGCCUCUAGCACUUCUUGGCUCUGUUACCUUGGGCAAAUUACAUAGCAUCUCUGAGCCUAAUCACUAAAAUGGAGAUAAUGCUGCCUUUCCUGCUUGGCUGGUGUAAGAAUUAGAAGAGAACGCGCAAAUCACUGAGACAGUACCUAGCAGUACCUUAAUGAUGAUGAUAACAGUUAACCUCCUUACGCACUUAUUAGGUUCUCAGGAGCUGGUAGUUCUUGGGUUAUUUUAUUUUUCUUCUUGGUGGAAGAAAAUGGAUAUUACAGGUAGAAACACAGACUUCGUGACCCAGCUUUUUACCUUCCCCAGGAGACCUGCAGCCCCAUCAUCUUCUCAUGGUGGCAGGUGUUUCAGAAGAGGGGAUGCCAGGACAUGAGUCACAGGCCCCACCAUUUCAAAGCACCCCGGUCCCCUGGGGUGGCCUCUGGAGCACCCAGAGAUCAGGUCUAGCCCUGCUUUGCUUCUGCAACCACAAGGUGGUAUGGACAGCAGCCACAGGAGAGUUCUUCUUUUUCCAGAGUCUGUUUGCUGUAUAAACACAAUCGUAAAAUGAGAGCCAAGUGUCGGUGAUGGCAGGGUUGGAGCAAAAGCAGGGGGAGGCAGCAUUCCUGGCGAUGGCCAGCUGCGCCCCGCCCAGCCCCAGUCAGCAUGGGGGAGAAGAGGUCCUGCAUCCCAUCACGUUGUCAGGCCGCACAGACCCUGUGUUCUUCAAACUUCACUUGGCUGGAGUGAUUUAGAGAGGCUUUAGGGGAGGAGGAGGCAGCUGGGAGGUAGAGGUGGAGGAGGCAGCCAGGGAGUUAUGCUAAACUGCUCCCAGGCUCCAAGGCCUUGCUGGACUCUGAAAAAUAAUCUGGUUUCCACUUGUCAUCUGAUCCAUAAAAUGCCUUGCUGGGGUACUUAAGAUAGUUCCCCAGGGCUGCAUCUGUGUGAUUCAGAUUCAAAAGCAGAAUUACUGACCAUGGAGAUGGCUCCACCAUUAGUAGCCUGAAGGAUGAGCAGGGUUCUCAGAGACCCUCUGGCUGGGUCUCCAUGGGUAGCAGAAGAUUGGAAUGAUGACUUCAGGCAACUCAAGCCUCUGCCCCUUCCAAAUAUGAACCAAAAUGCAAAACUUGUAUAAAUUGGGAGAAAGUAGGCAUACAAGCUUGAACGAUCAAAAGAGCUGUCUCUAGGAGUUCCCUAGUGGUGCAGUGGGCUAAGGAUCCAGCAUUGUCACUGCUAUGGCUCAUGACACUGCUGGGGCAGCCACUGGCCUGGGAGCUUCUGCGUGCCAUGGGUACAGCCAAAAAACAAAACAAAACAAAACAAAACAAAACAAAACAAAACAAACAAAAAAAAAACCAUUGUCUCUACUUUCAGCACCACAUUGAUUGCAUUCU